GCGCUUCCAGGGCUCAUGUCACACUGCGUGUGUUAGGGAGAACCAGCCACAUACAUGUUGGAAGGAUACGGUCAAGGCAUAGUACUUGAUAUGUGAGAAAAGGCAUCUUCCACACACUAACCAACCGUGGCAGAAACGAAGCACCAGCCACCAUCAUCCUGGCUAGGACGAUCAUCGUUUGCAUGCUGUCUACAGAGAGAGCAGCUUCAGGCACUUUCCAUUGCUACAACAGAACACCUGCUUUCCUCCAGCUCUGACGGAGGCACCAGAGCAUAGAUCAGUGAGGUCACCGUUUUUGCCCCAGCAGAGCAGGCUUGAGUUUGGAGGGAGCAGCUGGACUGCAGAGGUGCCGUAUCCGAGACACAACCUCCUGGGCUCGCUGGCUGCACGAGUUUCACUCCACUUGCCAGUGCUAUUCAUUAACCAAAAGCCAAAGCCUUGCCUGUUUACUGUGCUUUCUGCUGGAUCAAUCAAAAUAGAUGCUUUCAUACAUGUUUAUUUUGAAGACAAUAGUGCUAAAACAAAAAUGUGCUCUUAAGUGGAAAAUCCCAUAGGGAUUUUUCUAAUCAAUUACUCUUUAUUAUACCAUGACAACAUGAAAAUAUUUAUGUGCACACAUGCAAUGUUCUUGGUGAAUGUACAUCUCCAAAUGAUAGAGGGUAAAUUGAGAGGCCACAUCUGGUCUAUAAUAAAAAUAUAAU